rnacentral:misc_RNA from 1 species
AUGCAGUAUUCAAAUAAAGGCUAAAACGAGAGUACUUUUCCAUUUCAGUGCAUAUAGAGCUGUGAACAAUGGAUGCAUUUGCGAUCCCCGAUUUGAUAAUCAAGAAGAGAAACGGACAAGCCCUCACCACAGGGGAAAUUAAAUAUUUUAUCCAAGAGGUGGUGAACGGUGGAAUCCAACAAUGUCAGCUCGGAGCGAUGCUGAUGGCGAUAUACUUGAAAGGCUUGACAGACGAGGAGACUGUGUGUUUGACCAGGGAAAUGAUAAAUUCGGGCGACGUGCUAGGACCUUGGCCGGAAGAAUGGAAGGGCAAGGUCGUUGAUAAACACAGCACAGGGGGCGUGGGAGACAAAGUCAGCCUCAUCCUAGCACCUGCUCUGGCAGCUUGUGGAAUGAAAGUUCCUAUGGUUUCGGGGCGAGGCCUCGGUCACACUGGGGGGACCCUAGACAAGCUAGAAUCAAUUCCCGGAUUUACUGUCGAUGUGUCCAAAGACGAUAUAAAGAAGAUAGUGGAGAAAGUCGGCUGUUGCAUUGUGGGACAGACAAAAAACUUAGUUCCGGCUGACAAGGAAAUGUACAAAGUUCGUGACGUCACUGGGACCGUUGACAACUUUGGUCUUAUAGCAGGUUCCAUAAUUUCCAAAAAGGUAGCCGAACAGCCGAAAGCUCUUGUCUUGGAUGUUAAGUUUGGGAUUGGAGCCGUAAUUCAAGACAAGGAUCAGUCAAGGGAAUUGGCGCGGAAAAUGGUUACCAUUGGAAAAGGUCUCGGUGUAAAAACAUCAGCCCUGUUGACGGAUAUGAACAACCCGAUAGGUAAAAAGAUCGGGAAUGCCCUGGAAGUGGCGGAGUCAAUUGAUUGUCUCCAUGGAAACGGGCCACGUGACCUUGAGGAUCUCGUCCUUAAACUAGUCAAAUGAACCGACAAUGGCCCAUUGAAACGUGGACAGUUGAUGUUCCUCAGCGGUAACGCCCCUUCAUCCGAAGCAGGAGAGACGAAACUUAAGGAAACACUAAACAACGGAUCAGCGGCCAAAAAGUUUGAGGACAUGAUCAUCGCACAAGGAGCUGACCCCGAGAAAGCCAAAGUAUUGUGUGAAAAGAAUGCUGACGUAUGGAGUGUGCUCCCAAAAGCAAAGUUCAUAACCCCGAUAAAGAGCCAAAAGACGGGUUUGAUAACGAUUUGAUUUUUGACUCAUCAUUUAUUGAUGUCCACUAAAUAUUUGGUAUUUUCGGCACAUGUUAUAAUACAAUCAUAAUAUACCUUAAUUUUAUUGAAAGAAAAUAUGAAGUUCCAAGAAAAAUCAUAUUUCUAGAGGGUUUUGCCCGAGGGAAAUAUGAUUUUUCUAAAAGAAUAUCUCUUUAUAUUUCUGGAACAUCCAGUCUAUAAAAGUUUUAUAAUUUUCAAAUAAUUGUUCGACUUUUCGAAAGCAAUAACAUCGUGAAUUUUUAGAUUUAUGAUUUUUUUAUUAUUGUAUCUUUUUUCUUUCAUAAAUUCGAAUCAAAUAUAAUAAAAUUGGUUUUUGAGGUUUAAAGAGAGUUAUAAGGAUUAAAUAUUUUUGAUUAAAUCAUAUCUUUUAACAUCGUAUUCUUAUAUGGGCUAUUCAUACCUUUGGAAUAAAAAAUCACGAAAAUUCCUAAGAUAUGAGACACGAUAUUUAUUUCCCGGGAGCCAUGACGUUUUAUUUCGCCCUUUUACGUGACUCUCAAGAAUAAAUAGAUGGCGCGUAAUUAAAAUAAAAUAUUAAGCUAUGUUUUUUAGGUUACGUCAAUGCUAUACAAUCACGUGAUUGCGCCGAAUGUUCUCUGAAACUUGGAGCUGGUCGCCAAGCAUUUACGGAUCCAAUUAACUAUGCAGUUGGGCUAGAAAUUUGUGUUGAUAUUGGGUGUGAAAUCAAUGAAGGUGACCCAUGGAUUAAAGUUCACCAUGAUUGUGACGUCAUUCCUGAUGCUAUAAAAAGCAAAUUGAUGAAAUCAAUUGAUAUACAGCCAACUAGACCAAAAAAUAUCCUGGCCACCAGGGUAUCCGAAGUCAUUUAGAAUGAUACAUGUGGAAAUGGAAAUCAUAUUAUCGAAAAAAAAAGGUUUUUACUUCUUGUUAUGUAAAACAGUUAACAAUUGUAACAAUCCACAGGCAGCGGCUAUUAACUUUUCCUCAAUUUGUAAAAUUGUCAAAAUUAUGUAAUGAUCUAGAAAUAAAGGUUAUUCAAGGUAAACGUAACACUUUUACACAAAAUUGUGCAAUUCCAUGAACAGAUUUGUGUAAUUAAAUUCGAGGUAGUUAAUGUAUUUUACUUUUAUUGUAGAUUAAAUUACUCAUAUAC